rnacentral:rRNA from 1 species
CUCAGUUCGGAUCGGAGUCUGCAACCCGACUCCGUGAAGCUGGAUUCGCUAGUAAUCGCGCAUCAGCCAUGGCGCGGUGAAUACGUUCCCGGGCCUUGUACACACCGCCCGUCAAGCCAUGGGAGCCGGGAGUGCCUGAAGUCCGUGACCGCGAGGAGCGGCCUAGGGUAAGACCGGUGACUGGGGCUAAGUCGUAACAAGGUACC